rnacentral:rRNA from 1 species
GAUAAACGCUGGCGGCGUGCAUUAGACAUGCAAGUCGAACGGACUUCUCGGGGCUUGCUCUGAGAAGUUAGUGGCGGACGGCUGAGUAACGCGUAGGUGACCUACCCCGAAGUGGGGAAGUAACUGCCCGAAAGGGUGGCUAAUACCGCAUGUGAUCGUAUGUUCAUUCGUACGAUCAAAGCCGUAAGGCGCUUCGGGAGGGGCCUGCGUCCGAUUAGCUCGUUGGUGGGGUAAUGGCUCACCAAGGCGACGAUCGGUAGGUGGUCUGAGAGGACGAUCACCCAGACUGGGACUGAGACACGGCCCAGACUCCUACGGGAGGCAGCAGUCGGGAAUUUUGCUCAAUGGGCGCAAGCCUGAAGCAGCAACGCCGCGUGA